CCAAGGAGUCUAACAUGUGCGCGAGUCACUCGGUCUUGAAUAGGCCAGAGAGGCRCAAUGAAAGUAAAGUUGAUUGAGUUACGAUCCUCAUGCCGGUCACUGCCUCAGGUGGUGACGGUGAGGCGCAGUAACAGCCCGCCAAUUUCGCUUAUUGACGAUCUGGCGGAGUUGUAGCGUACACGUUGGUACCCGAAAGAUGGUGAACUAUGCCUGGGCAAGACGAAGCCAGAGGAAACUCUGGUGGAGGUCUGUAGCGAUUCUGACGUGCAAAUCGAUCGUCAGACCUGGGUAUAGGGGCGAAAGACUAAUCGAACCAUC
rnacentral:rRNA from 1 species